rnacentral:tRNA from 2 species
GUUAGGGUGGCAGAGCCAGGUUUAAUGCAAAAGACCUAAAAUCUUCCCACAGAAGUUCAAAUCUUCUCCCUAAUC